GUAGGGUGCAAGCGUUAAUCGGAAUUACUGGGCGUAAGGCGUGCGCAGGCGGUUUGUAAGACAGUGGUGAAAUCCCCGGGGCUCAACCUGGGAACUGCCAUUGUGACUGCAAGGCUGGAGUGCGGCAGAGGGGGAUGGAAUUCCGCGUGUAGCAGUGAAAUGCGUAGAUAUGCGGAGGAACACCGAUGGCGAAGGCAAUCCCCUGGGCCUGCACUGACACUCAUGCACGAAAGCGUGGGGAGCAAACAGGAUUAGAUACCCUGGUAGUCCACGCCCUAAACGAUGUCAACUGGUUGUUGGGAAUUUAUUUUCUCAGUAACGAAGCUAACGCGUGAAGUUGACCGCCUGGGGAGUACGGCCGCAAGGUUA
rnacentral:rRNA from 1 species